rnacentral:misc_RNA from 1 species
CAUUGCGUUCAUCCACUUUCUCAGGCAGGGACUAUAGGAAAUGAAGGUGAACUCGUGGAGAUUUUGGAGAGAAUUUAAUGAAGAGGCUGUUUACCAAGGAUCUCUCUCUGUCUCCGAGGCUGGAGUGCAAUGUUGCAAUCAGGGCUCACUGCAGCCUCGACCUCCUGGGCUCAACUGAUCUUCGUACCACAGCCUCAUGAGUAACUGGGACUACAGACGACCAUGGGCAUUUUUUCUAUGCAACUACAGAUAGUAUCUCAUGAUAUGAAUGGUCCUGGAUUUACUUACACAUCCUCCUUUGGAUGAGCAAAAAGUAAAUUUUUCACAGUGAUAGACAUUUGUAGUGCUUUUUAAAGGCACUGGUUCUGGUGGACACUGAGAGACAAUUUUUAUUUGCUGCACGUGGAAAGGACAACAACAUACCUGGACAGAAAUGCCUCGAGGAUGUACUGAAGGCCCCUCUCACUUUUCACAGCCAUAACUGUAAGUUUCCUGGGGCCUCUCCAGAAGACAAGCAGAUGCCGCUAUGCUUCCUGAACAGCCCACAGAACU